UAGGGAAUCUUCGGCAAUGGACGAAAGUCUGACCGAGCAACGCCGCGUGAGUGAAGAAGGUUUUCGGAUCGUAAAACUCUGUUGUUAGAGAAGAACAAGGACGUUAGUAACUGAACGUCCCCUGACGGUAUCUAACCAGAAAGCCACGGCUAACUACGUGCCAGCAGCCGCGGUAAUACGUAGGUGGCAAGCGUUGUCCGGUAUAAUUGGGCGUAAAGCGAGCGCAGGCGGUUUCUUAAGUCUGAUGUGAAAGCCCCCGGCUCAACCGGGGAGGGUCAUUGGAAACUGGGAGACUUGACUGCAGAAAAGGAGAGUGGAAUUCCAUGUGUAGCGGUGAAAUGCGUAGAUAUAUGGUGGAACACCAGUGGCGAAGGCGGCUCUCUGGUCUGUAACUGACGCUGAGGCUCGAAAGCGUGGGGAGCAAACAGG
rnacentral:rRNA from 1 species